GACGAACCGUGCGAACGUUAUUCGGAAUCAUUGGGCUUAAAGGGCGCGUAGGCGGCAACGUAAGUUGGAAGUGAAAUCCCAUCGGCUCAACCGUGGAAUCGCUCCCAGUACUGCGUUGCUAGUGCGAGAUAGGGGCCUGUGGAACUGCCGGUGGAGCGGUGAAAUGUGUUGAUAUCGGCGGGAACGCCAGUGCCGAAAGGGACAGGCUGGACCUUUGCAGACGCUGAAGCGCGAAAGCUAGGGUAGCGAACGGGAUUAGAUACCCCGGUAGUCCUAGCCUUAAACGAUGGGUACUGGGUAGAAAGUGUACCGAUAGCACCUUCUGCCGGAGCGAAAGCGUUAAGUACCCCGCCUGGGGAGUAUGGUCGCAAGGCUGAA
rnacentral:rRNA from 1 species